GUCGAGGGGUAUAGUUCUUCCGAGCUAGAGACCGGCGCACGGGUGCUUAACGCGUAUGCAAUCUACCUUUUACAGCGGGAUAGCCCAGAGAAAUUUGGAUUAAUACCUCAUAGUAUGAUACAAUCCCAUGAUUGAAUCAUUAAAGUCACAACGGUAAAAGAUGAGCAUGCGUCCCAUUAGCUAGUUGGUAAGGUAACGGCUUACCCAGGCAACGAUGGGUAGGGGUCCUGAGAGGGAGAUCCCCCCCACUGGUACUGAGACACGGACCAGACUCCUACGGGAGGCAGCAGUGAGGAAUAUUGGACAAUGGGCGCAAGCCUGAUCCAGCCAUGCCGCGUGCAGGAUGACGGUCCUAUGGAUUGUAAACUGCUUUUGUACAGGAAGAAACACUCCCUCGUGAGGGAGCUUGACGGAACUGUAAGAAUAAGGAUCGGCUAACUCCGUGCCAGCAGCCGCGGUAAUACGGAGGAUCCAAGCGUUAUCCGGAAUCAUUGGGUUUAAAGGGUCCGUACGCGGUCUUAUAAGUACAGUGGAGAAAUCUCCCCGCUCAACGGGGAAACGGCCAUUGAUACUGUAGGACUUGAAUUAUUAGGAAGUAACUAGAAUAUGUAGUGUAGCGGUGAAAUGCUUAGAGAUUACAUGGAAUACCAGUUGCGAAGGCAGGUUACUACUACUGGAUUGACGCUGAUGGACGAAAGCGUGGGUAGCGAAC
rnacentral:rRNA from 1 species